UUUUGCGUGCCAAACUAAACUAGCUUUCAUCGCUGCCGGAGCCCUCUCCAAAGUGUGCGCACAUAUUAAAUGCCUAGACCUUUCAAACUGUUUGAACAGGAGAUUAAGGCUUGUAUCUCACACUCUCGCCAAUUUGAAAUAUUCAUGUGAAAAGAGGCCGGGGAUGAGAUGGCCGCGAGUUCUCAUCAGGAAAUAUUUGAUGACAUCAGAAAAACUGCUAACCUGCAAGUAAUUCCUACCAGGGUGUACCAGCCAAGAAGAACGAGCUCCUCCCAUGCAGAAAAGCAGAAACCCCACUCAACUAAACCAUAGACGGAAAGGACUGGAAUCAAAUACGAAGAACAGGGAUCAAUCUACCAAUGAAUGGUCAAGUCACCCCAUCUGCUCCUACCCUUCUGUGCCACACGACGGCUCUUUAAGAGACAGUAUCUGCCUUCUUAAAAUGGGUUUUGUGUGUUUAUGAGUGCUUGCCUGCAUGCUCCACAUGCACCACGCUCGUGCUUGGUACCCGCCCAUCCACGGAGGUAAGAAGAAGGCAUUGUAUCUCCUGGAAGUGGAGUUCGGGAGCUCUGUGAAUCAUCACACGCGUGCCGGGGACUGGAUUGGGUCCUCCGCCAGGGCAAGUGCUCUGCUUUAGCUGCUGAGCCGCCCCUGUAGCCCUGAUAACAUCUCUAUGAAAGGUUUGGGGUCUCCACACAUUGCCCAUUCCCCUGCUGCACACAGCCCUUAUCAUCAGACUCGACAGAAAUCUCGUUUUCUGCCUUAAGCCGUUAAAACAUUUGUUUCAAAGGGAUUUGGACUUUUCUUCGCCGUUUUAUCAUCCACGAGGCCUAUCCACUUAUUUGGUAUAAAAGCUUCACAACUGGCCAGAGAAAUUA